UCAUUUUGUGUAUAAUUGUACCCUUCCAAAUCACAUAACAAAAUUUUAUUCAUUAAUAAUCCAUAUCAUUACAACCAUAAAUCAUACACUCAUUUUCAAAUCCGUUCACAAAUAUACGUCAUUACAACAUUUCAAAUUACAAAAAUAAUCAUUACAUAAUCGUACAUAAACCAUAUUCAAGGUAUAAUCAUAUGGAUCUCUAAGUUCGACUACGAGCUACAAGAGUUACAAAGAUUACAACAAUCCCAUAGUCCAAAACUUGAGAAAUUCCGAGCAUUCCAUCAAACAUAUCC
rnacentral:lncRNA from 1 species